UACGUAGGGCGCAAGCGUUGUCCGGAAUUAUUGGGCGUAAAGAGCUCGUAGGCGGUUUGUCGCGUCUGCUGUGAAAACUCGGGGCUCAACUCCGAGCUUGCAGUGGGUACGGGGCAGACUAGAGUGCGGUAGGGGGAGACUGGAAUUCCUGGUGUAGCGGUGGAAUGCGCAGAUAUCAGGAGGAACACCGAUGGCGAAGGCAGGUCUCUGGGCCAUAACUGACGCUGAGAAGCGAAAGCAUGGGGAGCGAACAGG
rnacentral:rRNA from 1 species